UACGUAGGGUGCGAGCGUUAAUCGGAAUUACUGGGCGUAAAGCGUGCGCAGGCGGUGAGUUAAGUCUGAUGUGAAAGCCCCGGGCUCAACCUGGGAACGGCAUUGGAAACUGGCUCGCUGGAGUGUGGCAGAGGGGGGUGGAAUUCCGCGUGUAGCAGUGAAAUGCGUAGAGAUGCGGAGGAACACCGAUGGCGAAGGCAGCCCCCUGGGCCAACACUGACGCUCAGGCACGAAAGCGUGGGGAGCAAACAGG
rnacentral:rRNA from 1 species